AAAUUAUUAAAAUAAUUGGCUCCUCCUAUAAAAAGACAAUACCUUUAGCUGUCAUAUUUUUCUGUUCUCAGAUCUAUCUUUUUCCUGUCAUAAAAUCAAAUGGAGAAAAAGGUUUCUUUCCUCAGUUUAUUGUUACUAAUAUUUGUGGGAUUUUCUCUUCUAAUCUCAACAAUUGCAGUUCCUUCUUCAAGAAGUAUUAAGACAAAUACAGAAAAUCAAGUUUCUCAUGACAAGGUGGUAUUGAUGGAUGAGUUGGAGAAGAAGAGGGAAUUGUUGGUGGAAAGAGAUGAUUAUGCAGGAACAGGUGCAAAUAAUCAUCAUGACCCAAAGCCUCCUGGCUCUCAAUGGUCAAAUCUUAAUUAAUUAAUUAAUUAAUUGCGUUUAAGAUUAUGUUUAUGUGUACAAAAGAUGAAAUAAAGAUUACCAAGGAAGGAUAUAUAUAUGCAGUACUACUCUACUCAAGUACAUGUAAUUAUAUAUGUUGCUUGUUUUAUAUUCUUAUUAGGAACUGCAUUAUUGUCCUUUCUUCCUUCGUACUGAUUCAUGUAACAGUGAUUGCGUGAACAUAAUGUUGUUGUUUUUGGGAAGAGGUGUUAUUAAUAACACCUUUAUCGAUA